UACGUAGGGGGCAAGCGUUGUCCGGAAUCAUUGGGCGUAAAGCGCGUGUAGGCGGCUUCGUAAGUCCGUUGUGAAAGUCCAGGGCUCAACCCUGGAAUGCCGAUGGAUACUGCGGAGCUAGAGUCCGGAAGAGGCGAGUGGAAUUCCUGGUGUAGCGGUGAAAUGCGCAGAUAUCAGGAGGAACACCGAUGGCGAAGGCAGCUCGCUGGGACGGUACUGACGCUGAGGCGCGAAAGCGUGGGGAGCAAACAGG
rnacentral:rRNA from 1 species